CUACGUGCCAGCAGCCGCGGUAAUACGUAGGUCCCGAGCGUUGUCCGGAUUUAUUGGGCGUAAAGCGAGCGCAGGCGGUUUGAUAAGUCUGAAGUUAAAGGCUGUGGCUCAACCAUAGUUCGCUUUGGAAACUGUCAAACUUGAGUGCAGAAGGGGAGAGUGGAAUUCCAUGUGUAGCGGUGAAAUGCGUAGAUAUAUGGAGGAACACCGGUGGCGAAAGCGGCUCUCUGGCUUGUAACUGACGCUGAGGCUCGAAAGCGUGGGGAGCAAACAGGAUUAGAUACCCUGGUAGUCCACGCCGUAAACGAUGAGUGCUAGGUGUUAGACCCUUUCCGGGGUUYAGUGCCGCAGCUAACGCAUUAAGCACUCCGCCUGGGGAGUACGACCGCAAGGUUGAAACUCAAAGGAAUUGACGGGGGCCCGCACAAGCGGUGGAGCAUGUGGUUUAAUUCG
rnacentral:rRNA from 1 species